UUCAGUGGAAUCAGGUUUCGAACCUGGAACACUCCGGCUCCUAAAGCCGAGACCUUACCACUAGGCCACCGA
rnacentral:tRNA from 1 species